rnacentral:rRNA from 1 species
CCCUUAGAUGUCCUGGGCCGCACGCGCGCUACACUGAGUGUCUGAGAUACGAGUCUGCCUGGUCCGGCAAGGUCUAGGUAAUCGCUAAAAGACACAUCAUGCUUGGGAUAGAUUAUUGCAAAUAUUAAUCUUGAACGAGGAAUUCCUAGUAAAUGUGAGUCAUCAGCUCACGUUGAUUACGUCCCUGCCCUUUGUACACACCGCCCGUCGCUCCUACCGAUUGAGUGAACCGAUGAGUAGUCCGGAUUGCGAUCGACCUCGGUUAAUCGCGAGAAGUUCCGCAAAUCACUUCACUUAGAGGAAGGAGAAGUCGUAACA